rnacentral:rRNA from 1 species
GGGGACGAACGUUACGAAAGGAACGCUAAUGCCGCAUACGUACCCUACGGGAGAAAGCAGGGGACCUUCGGGCCUUGCGCUAUCAGAUGAGCCUAGGUCGGAUUAGCUAGUUGGUGAGGUAAUGGCUCACCAAGGCGACGAUCCGUAACUGGUCUGAGAGGAUGAUCAGUCACACUGGAACUGAGACACGGUCCAGACUCCUACGGGAGGCAGCAGUC